AAUGGACGAACGGCCAACCGCGUCGCGCUUGAGAAUGGACGGGAGCCAAUCAGAGCGCGAGCUGUCCAUUGUUGGGGAGCCAAUCAGAGCGCGAGCUGUCCAUUGUUGGGGAGCCAAUCCGGUCGCUCGCUAUCCAUUGUGUUGGGAGCAGACUUUACGCAGUCCUGAGGAAAAUUGACAGAUUUCAAUAUCGACAGAAGAAAAUUGCAUAAUUCGACAAAAUGAGUACCAAGCCAAAGACCCACAAGGCCAUGGGUGAUGUCGAGUGGAUGAACAGGUUGAGGGCUUUUGCAAGCUCUGGUGCAUGGCCUUCUGGAGGCAACAGACCAGCACCACGGCAGCGGACGUGGUAUGACCUCUACCAGAAGAUCACAAAGAAGCUGGCCGGCCAUGGACAGGGGACAGCACUCUGGGUAACCCUUAUUGGAAAUGAGGUUGACCAGAUAGUGCCCAACCAAUACAAGGGCAUUAUAUACUGCCCCUCUGUAGAGACACUACCAAAG